rnacentral:rRNA from 1 species
GGAAUAUUGGUCAAUGGACGCAAGUCUGAACCAGCCAUGCCGCGUGAAGGAUGACUGCCCUCUGGGUUGUAAACUUCAUUUCUCUGGGACUAAACCCAUCCUCUCUAGGGUGAUUUACGGUACCAUAGGCAAAAGCACCGGCGAACUCCGUGCCCGCAGCCGCGGUAAUACGGAGGGUGCAAGCGUUAUCCGGAUUUACUGGGUUUAAAGGGUGCGUAGGUGGAUUUGUAAGUCAGUGGUGAAAUCUCCGGGCUUAACCCGGAAACUGCCAUUGAUACUACAGGUCUUGAAUUAUCUGGAGGUAAGCGGAAUAUGUCAUGUAGCGGUGAAAUGCUUAGAUAUGACAUAGAACACCGAUUGCGAAGGCAGCUUACUACGGAUAUAUUGACACUGAGGCACGAAAGCGUGGGGAUCA